CUGCAGCCAAUAAAGUUGACCAGCCCUCUCUCCCCAUGGUCUUGGUGUGUAGUGGCUGCAGAUAGCAGCCUCCUUGGUAUUGUACGUGGCCUGUUGCCUGUACAGGUUGCCAUAAGGGAACUUGGAGACAGCC
rnacentral:snoRNA from 1 species